rnacentral:lncRNA from 10 species
AAUACAUAGAGUAAUGAAGUAAGUUUUACAAGCCCACACAAGUAAAAUGUUAUAUGUUUAAAAAGUGGAUUCCAAAGUCACCACAUACUACAUAUAAUCUCCCAAAAGAUUUUUAAAAUAACAAAUGAUGAAGUUGAUGGAAAAUAAUAAAAUUGCAUUCACUUCACUGCAGUUAAAGUGACCUUUUCAGAGUUAAAUAGAGGAAUCCAUUAUUGAACAUUUCUUCAACAACUAUUAUUGAGUGUCUGCUGGGUGUAAAAUACAAGGAAGGAUACAAAGAUGAAUAAAGAAAUAGUUCUGAAACUGACAACUUUGAAGCAAAGUGAUUUUCACAAGUUUCCUAUUUUCAAGAUACUUUGUAAUUCUAAUAUCUGCCUGCUAAUGAACCUUUCCUCUUAUGUCUACAUUUUCUCAGAGACACUCCUAGGAACUCAGUUUUGUCCAUUCAAUUAGCUUCUUCAGACUGAGGUUGAAAUUUUUACAAUCUACGCCAGCAACUGAACUCACUUUACUUUGAGCAACUGAAAGGGAAUCUUCUCUCCUUCCUAAGAGGGAUAAAUAAACAGCAGCAGAGGCCAUAGGGAUCCAUGCAUAUUAAAAGUUGGAAGGCCCUUUCCUUCAUUCUCCACUGGUGAAAUUCAUGUGCAUCCCUCUCAGACAUCCCACCUUAUUAUAAGACCCCAUUUUGGCCAGACCAGCUGAGUCAUGGAAACUGGAAACAAAAAACACUUAGAGUUAAGAGAGACGAGGAAUGGAAGAAAAUAUCCCCAUGACAGAUAAUGUGAAGGAUAAGGAUUUUGAGAUGGACCUUAAAAUAAACACUUCUCAUCAGAGGGGUUCCAGCAGCUGUGAGAAGGCAUCCUAUCACCAAUGUUCCAAGAUGUCCUGGCGUACAAAGCUCUCCGUGUGCUGUUUGGCAUCCAAAACAUUCUGCUUUCUUUUCUUUUUUUUUUUCUUUCAUACUCCACUAUGGAAUAUGGAAUGUUUUCUUUCUGUGAGAAUGGAGCAAGGACUGGCUUCUUGACACAGGAAAUUGACAAUAAACAAGAAAAACAUCUGCUGAAGUCAUGAGGUGCUAUUUCUCAGUAUUCAGGAUCAAGGAACCCUAAAGCUAUAACAAUUCUAUAAUUCUAUAAUGUUAAAGAUUUCUCCUUAACAGAUGGUAGUCAUUACAAGUUACUGCAGGGCAUAACUCUUCAAAGGCUAAGAUGAAAAUUUGUCCCGUGCAAAAAAGAAAAGAGAUUUGAUGGAGAAAAGGCAGGGUCAAAUGCUUUUUAAAUUGUGUUAGAAUUCUCCAACUCUUUUGAAAGUUCUAUUUUCUCAUAAUUAGUUUUAGAAAGGUGACUUGGUCAUAAAUUUUACAUCAUAAAAAUCACUGGGCUUCAGAAAUGUAAUAGCUACAUGUCUUCACUGAAUUCAAAAUAAUCCCAUAACUCUUGUCAAAUGCUUUUAGAGUUCAUUAUCACUAAAAGGAUAAUGGUUUAUGCUAUUUAUGUAUACAAAAUGCUUCAAACUAAAUGUAUCAUGUAGUGCCAUGGUCCAAAACCAUUGUCAGUGUCAUGCACAUACUGGGUUCAUUAAUUCAUUUGUUCAUUAAUUCAUUCCUUCUACAAGUAUAUACUGAGCAUCUUUUAUAAUCCCAGGCAUUGUUCUAGGUGCUGAAGAUGCGAUUAUGAACAACAGAAACAAAAGUCUCUUUUUUCAUAGAG